AUUGAACGCUGGCGGCAGGCUUAACACAUGCAAGUCGAGCGAGCGGCGGACGGGUGAGUAAAGUCUGGGAAACUGCCUGAUGGAGGGGGAUAACUAAUGGAAACGGUAGCUAAUACCGCAUACCAUCAGAUGUGCCCAGAUGGGAUUAGCUAGUAGGUGGGGUAAUGGCUCAGCUAGGCGACGAUCCCUAGCUGGUCUGACAGGAUGACCGGCCACACGGGAACUGAGACACGGUCCAGACUCCUACGGUAGGCAGCAGUGGGGAAUAUUGCACAAUGGGCGCAAGCCUGAUGCAGCCAUGCCGCGUGUGUGAAGAAGGCCUUCGGGUUGUAAAGCACUUUCAGCGGGGAGGCGUUACUCGCAGAAGAAGCACCGGCUAACUCCGUGCCAGCAGCCGCGGUAAUAC
rnacentral:rRNA from 1 species